rnacentral:piRNA from 1 species
GAAGACGAAGAUGAUGAUGAUGACGAUG